UCGGGUAACGCAAGAAGGAACAUACAAGCAGUCCACCCUGUGAUAACAUGUGUACGUAGAUGUUGGUUCAAUACAUUUUGUGUCAACAAACACCAAAUCAGCAGAUCGGAGUCGACGGAGCAGGGAACUUGUCGGAGGAAGGCAAUUGAUCUGCUUUGGAGGGGGAUCAUCUUUGUUCUGCUAGCAACAUGGAUCUCGGACUUCCCUCAAGUUCUGGCUGUGCUGAAACACACCAGGUUGAUCUGAGUUUUAUAUUGAAAAAAGAAAACAUCAAAGAGGAGGAAUAUGAUCAUAUGAUUUCAUGUCCAGAUGAGACACCGAGGUCUACUUACAAUGAAACGCUAAGGACAACAGUGAAGACUGAAGAGGAGGAGCAGCAGCUCGACCAGCUGGAAAGUGCAUCAGACCAUUCGCAACAGAGGAUCCAAGGACAGAAUGAUGAACUCAACCUGCAACUCGAAGGAAGGCUGCACCAACGCACAGUUGGCAGGAAGAGUUUCAGAGCCCUUACUGAACUUGAAAAGCCCAGACACACUAUGCACACACUGUAGGGAAGCCUCAUAACUGUUUCCAUUGUGGAAGAGGUUUCUCACACGCGUCAAGUCUUUCACGCCACAUGCGUGAUCACAAAGGAGAGGAGCUGAGUCGUGAAACACAAAUGCUUGAAGAACAGACUGAAGGGAAGGCUCAUAAAUGUUCCCAGUGUGGAAAAGGUUUUUCACACUUGUCAAGUCUUUCACGCCACAUGCAUGAACAC